CUUGGUCAUUUAGAGGAAGUAAAAGUCGUAACAAGGUCUCCGUUGGUGAACCAGCGGAGGGAUCAUUACAGAGUUGCAAAACUCCCACAAACCAUCGCGAAUCUUACCCGUACGGUUGCCUCGGCGCUGGCGGUCCGGAAGGCCCUCGGGCCCCCGGAUCCUCGGGUCUCCCGCUCGCGGGAGGCUGCCCGCCGGAGUGCCGAAACCAAACUCUUGAUAUUUUAUGUUUCUCUGAGUAAACUUUUAAAUAAGUCAAAACUUUCAACAACGGAUCUCUUGGUUCUGGCAUCGAUGAAGAACGCAGCGAAAUGCGAUAAGUAAUGUGAAUUGCAGAAUUCAGUGAAUCAUCGAAUCUUUGAACGCACAUUGCGCUCGCCAGUAUUCUGGCGAGCAUGCCUGUUCGAGCGUCAUUUCAACCAUCAAGCUCUGCUUGCGUUGGGGAUCCGCGUCUGACGCGGUCCCUCAAAAACAGUGGCGGGCUCGCUAGUCACACCGAGCGUAGUAACUCUACAUCGCUAUGGUCGUGCGGCGGGUUCUUGCCGUAAAACCCCCAAUUUCUAAGGUUGACCUCGGAUCAGGUAGGAAUACCCGCUGAACUUAAGCAUAUCAAUAAGCGGAGGAAAAGAAACCAACAGGGAUUGCCCUAGUAACGGCGAGUGAAGCGGCAACAGCUCAAAUUUGAAAUCUGGCUUCGGCCCGAGUUGUAAUUUGUAGAGGAAACUUUUGGUGAGGCACCUUCUGAGUCCCUUGGAACAGGGCGCCAUAGAGGGUGAGAGCCCCGUAUAGUCGGAUGCCGAUCCAAUGUAAAGUUCCUUCGACGAGUCGAGUUGUUUGGGAAU
rnacentral:sRNA from 1 species